rnacentral:rRNA from 1 species
UACAGGGGGUGCAAACGUUGCUCGGAAUCAUUGGGCGUAAAGCGCACGUAGGCGGUUCGUUAUGUCGGAUGUGAAGGCCCUUGGCUUAACCGAGGAAGUGCAUCCGAAACUGGCGAGCUAGAGUACGAAAGAGGAUCGCGGAAUUCCCGGUGUAGAGGUGAAAUUCGUAGAUAUCGGGGAAGGAACACCGGUGGCGAAGGCGGCGAUCUGGGUCGAUACUGACGCGUGAGGCGGCGAAAAGCG